rnacentral:rRNA from 1 species
AUUGAACGCUGGCGGCAUGCCUUACACAUGCCAGUCGAACGGUAACAGGUUAAGCUGACGAGUGGCGAACGGGUGAGUAAUGUAUCGGAACGUGCCCAGUCGUGGGGGAUAACUGCUCGAAAGAGCAGCUAAUACCGCAUACGACCUGAGGGUGAAAGCGGGGGAUCGCAAGACCUCGCGCGGUUUGAGCGGCCGAUAUCGGACUAGGUAGUUGGUGGGGUAAAGGCUCACUAAGCCGACGACCUGUAUCUGGUCUGAGAGGACGACCAGCCACACGGGGAGUGGGACACGGCCCAGACUCCUACGGGAGGCAGCAGUGGGGAAUUUUGGACAAUGGGCGCAAGCCUGAUCCAGCCAUGCCGCGUGCGGGAAGAAGGCCUUCGGGUUGUAAACCGCUUUUGUCAGGGAAGAAAAGGUUCUGGCUAAUACCUGGGACUCAUGACGGUACCUGAAGAAUAAGCACCGGCUAACUACGUG